rnacentral:rRNA from 1 species
AUGGAGCACUACACCAUGAGGCUCAGCGCGGGCGGAGGGGCCACGCCCACCCAGCAGCAGCAGCAGCAGCAGCUCUGCCCCUGGGGAGAGCCCCUGAUGGUGGCGGCGCCUGACCGAAGGUCGAGGUUCUGGCAGAUGGACGUGGCCGUGGCGGCACAGCCGGCCCGCAUCGAGGUCAUAUGCCCGCUGCCGCGACGCCCGGCCCGUCCUCCACACCCCGUCGAGCCCUUCGGCAGGGCCACCUCCAGGCCUAACAACGGGACGCUACCGGUGUAUAGAACAGACUCCGCCUCUGAUAUCCUUGAUCUCAUCCUCAGCAAGAAUGACCCUGAUGUUGAUACCGAUUCCAACGGCCAGGCGGGCUUUUUCUGUGGCUCGCCUCCCGUCCGCACUAACAACCCCAUUGUGAAUGAUCCGCAGUUUGGUAGGAAUACCCCCUGUUUUUCUCCUCUAGGGAGCCCAUUCAGCAAGAUGCUUGGUGGAAGAGCUGAAGUAGGCUCUCCGUCUUGCGGGGCGAGUAGUAGCCCGAAAGUGAGGAUUGAAGGCUUUGCCUGA